GAAGCCAGGACAAAACUUCAUUUCAAUAUUAUAAAAACACCGACAGAAAUCCGCAUUACUUAGCCUGGAGCCUUCAUGCAAAUGCUUCAGGUUCCAUUUGCUGACCACAUGUAUAGUUCAGCCUCCAGAUCUCAUAGGACCGUAUCAACUGAUGCGCUCAUCACCAAGACAAUCAUAUAUAAACAAUAACACAUCAUAGCAUCAAAAUCCAAUUCAAACCUGGUCCUAAAAUUUACUUACCUACAACAGGAUUGAGUAAUUCUUAUUUUUCUACAUCCAAGUGGUUCUGACUUCUGAGUAAAGAAAAGCAGAUCAAACAAGAGCCAGACAAGUCAUAGAGUUACUCCAACCGACCUUUAUUACAUGAACUUCCUGAAAGCCUUCAGCUAUCUUCAUGAACAUAAG
rnacentral:lncRNA from 1 species